rnacentral:rRNA from 1 species
UAGGGAAUCUUCCGCAAUGGGCGAAAGCCUGACGGAGCAACGCCGCGUGAGUGAUGAAGGUCUUCGGAUCGUAAAACUCUGUUAUUAGGGAAGAACAAAUGUGUAAGUAACUAUGCACGUCUUGACGGUACCUAAUCAGAAAGCCACGGCUAACUACGUGCCAGCAGCCGCGGUAAUACGGAGGUGGCAAGCGUUAUCCGGAAUUAUUGGGCGUAAAGCGCGCGUAGGCGGUUUUUUAAGUCUGAUGUGAAAGCCCACGGCUCAACCGUGGAGGGUCAUUGGAAACUGGAAAACUUGAGUGCAGAAGAGGAAAGUGGAAUUCCAUGUGUAGCGGUGAAAUGCGCAGAGAUAUGGAGGAACACCAGUGGCGAAGGCGACUUUCUGGUCUGUAACUGACGCUGAUGUGCGAAAGCGUGGGGAUCAAACAGG